CAUUCUUUUUUUAUUCAUAAAAAAUGCAACUCAGCAGUUCUGUAGCAGUUCUCUUCCACAUGGAACAUGAAUGUAUCUUCAUCCUAAACAGAACGUUUCAACAGUCAACCAUGAACUCCACCAUGAUGCAGCCUGAAGGCCUCUAGUCUUCCUCUAGCAGCUGCUGAGGCAAACUCACUUGUUCACAUUCUCUGACCGCUUCUUUUGCACAAUGUGUCCUGCGACUGAGAACCGUCGUUCACAUGGAACCGUGGAAGAAGGAGUGGCGAGGUAUCUGCUAGCUGUGAGGCCAACUGCUCAUGGGCUCCUGAAUGAGAUGAGCACCACUCCAAGGGGCCGUCCUCCAGACCAACGCUCUGUGAGGCUGCUGCACCUCUUCAUCGGAGUCACAACCUGAGCCCAUUACCAGAAGAGUUUCUUCUUGGUGGCCCAUCUUCAGCAGCUCGUGGCCUCCUGGCCCCGGGUGACUGUUCCUGCAGCAAUCUCUCAAGUGUGGUCCACCCCUCUGGUCUCUUGGGGAGGCUCUUCAGGGCUUUAACACGUGGAUCCAGCUGGUGCAAUAGAGAGCCAUUCUCUGAGCCAUUCAUUGUUGGUAUUGUCUUGGCGGGAGGCUCGGUCUCUCUUGAAUGCCGUCUUAAAUGUCACCACAUAUGCGGGUCAUCUUCGGUGACUUCCAUUCCAUGACGCAGGUGGCAGAGUGCAGGCAGAACCACAGAGCAGGAGACAUCGGCCUCCCCACCCAGAAUACCAGAUACCUUCAGUGGAAACACACACAGAGGAAGAUGGAGGAGGGCUCUAGAAGAGACUCCAGUCUCUGCAGUCGCUCCCAUUCCUGUGGCGUCACUAGUUUGUGGUUCUGCUGGUCCAUGGCUGCUGUCACUGCAUCCGUACUGCGGAUCAGACGUUUACCCAUGUCCAGCGUUGAGCUCCAGCGUGUCGGGACGUCUUGGAUCAGUGGCAGUCGUUGCCAGUAGUUUCCAGUAGUUUCCAGCAGAUGCCGCAACUAGUCAAAAGGUGCCAAAGUGCCCGGACAGCGGAAGAAAUCACUUUCAUGAUCACAGAAUGGAGGAGCUGCGGUUUAGAUAGAUAGAUAAAAUAGCUAUCUAGAUCCACAGAUGGAUUAGAUAAUUAGUGUCUUUUUGUAGACUUACUUACAAUAUGCAUUAAGAUAGUGCUGUACAUUACUGCUCUACAAUAUUUAAUAUGGUUUUGCUUCUAUAUAUUACACUUGUAUACCAUAUGUAUAAUGUAACCGCCUUUUUUAAUAAUGUCAGUUUAUUUGGAAAACAUGUUUUUGUAAGGUUCUGUGAUGCUUGAGUUAGGUUUAUAAAUGCAAUGAAUGUGAUGGUUAUUAAUUCAAUACAUUAAAUUACACAUCAAAGCACA